GGCGCUCGCGAAACCCGAAGACUUGCAGGGUAAGAACUGAAGCCACCAAAAGGCUUACUAUACCACACAACACCCAAGCCUUCCUUUGGGGCAUGGGGACAGUGGAUCUAUGGCUCCUCAGGGUGCCAACCAAUUGAAGAAGGAAGCCAGCUCCACUCAACAGCUUCUACAAAGGAAGGGCCACAGGAGAGGGGCUUCAGUGGUUCCAGGCAGCUGCUUCAUUCACAACAGAAUGGCCAUUUUCUCCAGCAUGGCCAACUAUCCCUAGUCUUUUUGUCAUGACAGCCUAGAAGGCAGAAGCUAGGGCCAAGGCGGCUGCUAAGGAAUUCCUACUCCUACUGGGGCCUAAUGUCAGGCUUUCCUUAUAUUGUGGAGUGGGCCCUGGAAGAUAGUUAGAGACCCUUCCUGCUGGGCACCCUGAAGAGGAGCAAGAGGAUCUGGUGAGCAAAAUGAAGCAAAAGUGCAGUGCUGGAGCUGACAGCCCUGUUCCCUACUGCACGCAGUUGGCUCAGGGCUGUCCCCCACUUUGGAGCUU